UUCAUUUGCGAGUCGUUCUCAGUAAGCGGCAUGUGCUGAACUUGGAGCGCGCAGCUACUUCGCCAAAGCGGCAUGGAAACUCUUCGCGGCUCCGGAACAUUUCACUUGCUUCAAAGCACUUCGCGUACUUUAGCUCGGUCGACAAACUGGUCAAGUAGAUCAUUAUUAAUGCUCCCGCCACGUUACAGAGACAGAGCAGUGUACCAAAGGUGAGUCCAUGGCGGAAAUAAGAUUCUAACAGAUCAAUAUCUGACAUGAUAUUAUAAAAGAGUGACAAAUCAGGCAGGUGCUCUUGGAGGGCCUUAAUCAUAGCUGUCAACUUUUCCCUUUUCUUGCAAGGAAUCCUAUUCGGGAUAAGGGAAUUUCCCUUUAAAAAAGGGAAACGUUGACAGCUAUGGCCUUAACCCAUCCUCCACAUGCCAGUUCUCCCAUUUUUAUUGCCAUCACUCCAGUCUGCUGUUACUAUCAUUUAUUUUUACUAUUUUAUUUCAUUUGUUAUCUUGCCCAAGGCAAUCCAAAGUGACUUAUAGCCAAUCAGCUAUUUGGUUCACUUGAAUGAAUGUGUGUACAUUUCCCACAUGAAACAAAUAGCAGGCAGCAGUGGGGUGUUAAAUCAGGAAAACUGCAUGUCUGAAUGCCCCACCUGCACCCCGCUCCAAACUACAGCAUUGAUCCGUGAGUGCCAGUGGUGCCAGGUGCCAAUUCGGACUGGGGGCCCAACAGCAAGGGGAGCCAAGGAAAAUGGCAGCCACACACACGGAGGCAGUCAGAUGGGCUGAGGGCAGAAGGGUGGGGCAGUGCCCCCUUUGCUCUAACAGACAAACCUCCACUGCUGCUUUGAUCUUUAGGAAACUAAACUAACACGUUUCCUUGGGCACUUAGCAGCUAUGGCACACCAGCUCUCAAGGUGUGUCAAGGGUCUGGUGAGGUGGGGGGAAGAAUGCUCUCCCAACAUCACCAGAAAUUGGCUCAGAAUGCGGGUGGCGCUGUGGGUUAAACCACAGAGCCUAGGACUUGCCGAUCAGAAGGUCGGCGGGUUUGAAUCCCCACGAUGGGGUGAGCUCCUGUUGCUCGGUCCCAGCUCCUGCCAAGCUAGCAGUUCGAAAGCACGUCAAAGUGCAAGUAGAUAAAUAGGUACCAGUCCUGCGGGAAGAUAAACGGCGUUUCCAUGCACUGCUCUGGUUCGCCAGAAGUGGCUUAGUCCUGCUGGCCACAAGACCCAGAAGCUGUAUGCCGGCUCCCUCGGUCAGUAAAGCAAGAUGAGCGCCGCAACCCCAGAGUCGGCCACAACUGGACCUAAUGGUCAGGGGUCCCUUUACCUUUAAUGCAAUCAAACACAUAGGUGAAGAUCCAGUUGCCACCCUCUGAUACUAACUAAUAAUAAAUAUUCUUUUUCCAGUAAUUAGAAAGCGGAAAGUCUGCCAGAGAAGUGCUGGAGGACAAAGGUGCAAAGGAGAACCGAAGGAAGACAGAUUCUUUGCCUCUGUCUUCAUUGUGAAAGUUAGCUAGAGAGAUGCUCAUACGCCACAACCUGCAGCCUUGCUUCCUGGCAGUGUAGCUGAGACACCAAACGGCAAAUAAAUGUGACAAAGGAUAAAGCCUGAGCUGUGUUUCCAGUAAAUGGGAAGCAAACGUGACAAAGGCCACAACGGUUACAACACAUGCAGAAGGGCAGCGAGACUUGCAGUUGAUGAGUCAGCCAUGGCUUCUGUGAGGGGAAGCAUCGGCUCAACGACACCGGCCUUUCAGAACGACAACAAACACUCUGGUCCAGUGGGC